UUAGGUCUUUACACUUUGGUUGGCCAAUUUCUGAGCUGGAAGACUAAAGAGAGGUUAUUGGGUUGAGCUGCCUGCUGCCUCUUGCUGCUUUUGGAUCAUGGAUCCUGGGGCUCGGAUAAAAGGGAAAACACCCUCGCUGCACACUGGUUCCUCCAUCAGCCUCCAAAGGAGCCUGUGAUAACCGCAUUGAGGCACUAUGACUUGGCUCUUACGUGGGACCCUGAAGCAACCACAGCACAGCAAUUCUUUGAGCUGAAGAAAUGAAUACAUAAAAUAAAAAGGCACUUUCCAAAGGGACCAAUCUUACAAUCUGAAAGAAAAGCUUCUCUGAUAAACGGGCACAAUAUUGGCUGUUGAGGGAAAGUAUCUGUUUGGGGAAACUGCCAAAAGGAUUAGGCAUUCAGUUUCCGCCAGUUAAUCAUUUACAAUUAUGAGUCCAGGCAGAUCAAUAAGAUCCACCACAAAGAGAUAAGAAAGUUGGAGAGCAACAGAGGAACCAUUUACAAGUGCAAAGUCUAGAGAUGAGUCCACGUGGCCAAUGCAAUGGCUCUCAUGGUUCCGCUGUCCCCACUGGGGGCCAUGGCUUGAAGGCAGGGUGAGGACAACAGGGAAUGGGAUUUCGGAUUCAUCACUGGAGGGCGCCAAGUUCUUACCAAGUAGCUGGGCUUUCAGGCGCUUUGGGCGGAACUCUUUGUCUUCUACAACUUUCUAUGUUUUUUUGCUCAUUACUUAUAAUCUUGGAUUGAUCUUUUUAGCUUCACAAAUCUUUCCAUUGGUAAAGCCAUUAUUUAGUCUGCAUAUUUUCGUCACCUACCUUCCCUUCCCCAUUCACUUUCAGACCCUGACAACCUUUUCUCAUUCCAUGGAGCCCUUCUCCAGAUCAUUUUCCUUCAAGACACUGCCUCUCUGGAUUGCCUGUUAGCCUAGCAAAAAUCUUGGAAGGAAAUUAGCUCAAAGAAGGACUUCCUGUAUCUAUCUGGAAGAGAUACCUCUAAGCUUUCUUUCAAAUAGUAAUAAAUGCUUGAAAUGCGCCCUCAUCCAGGUAGAAAUUUCCUGCUGACAUCACUUUACCAGCUAUAGCAAGAGGAAGAGUUCCUGAGCCAGGAAUCACCUGUGCCACAGCAGUGACAAUGCUGGGAUCCUUAACCCACUGAGCCACCUGGGGCCUCCUAAAGCAUGAUUUUAAAGUUGUCAUCAUAUCACAUCCUGUGGCUUCAUCAUUGUUCAUUCUUCUAUUCCCUCGGUAUGGGGCAACUAGUCUCCUUAUGAUUUUGCUACUGUAAAUAAUACUAUAACAUACUUUCCCCUCAUACAUCUGUGGCGUUUUAAUAGGGGACAUUUGAAGACUCCCAAGAAAUGUCUCUUUAACACAAAACUGCAGAAAUCGGUUACAGGAGGAGUUAUAAUUUUGAAGGAAAAAGACUUUUGCUUCACUUGCCUGCUAAAAAGGUGAACUACCUUUGUGUGUGGCUGAGGUCAGAGAUGGAUGAAGCAACUGCUAGGUGAUCACCGAGGUAGGAGGAAAGAGGGGUGAGAAAGCUGACCAGUCUUCAACUAGUAAAUGGAGAUCACAGGCUUCCUAUCUUCCACUUUCCACCUAUCAUUCCAAAACGGAAGUAAGGCUGGCCCCUCGUGUGUGUUCAUGUCCACUCUUCCCAUUGUCUGACUUGAGACACACACUGUAUAAACCCUCGAUGACAGGCUGCUAAAGGAAGAGCUAAACCCAUGAAUUAAGAGUUCCUCAAAGAGAGGUGUGGCUGAGGCAGAAGUGACAGCUUCAUCCCCUCCCAGCUUCCAUUGUUCCUGAGUACUCAGUAGAUGUACUUAGUACUUAGUAGAUGUACUUAGUACUUCAGAUGACUGCUGUUGGGCAAGUUCUUCCCAGUAGAAAUCUGCAGAAGGACCCUGCCUCCCCCUAGUGGAUGUUAGCGCGAGGUGAACAGGCGGAUUCUCCUGCAAGGUCCAGAAGCCAAGAAUCGUGUCCUUACAUGCCCUCCUGAGAUAAUGGAAGCUGUGUUUCUGGAGGAGACUCCUCCCACUCCAUAGAAGCUCUUGUCUUUCGCCAGCCAUCUGUGUCUACUGCUGCCACAAGACAAGACAUCAGGGGAUGUUUUCUCCUUCAGGGCACUAUCCCAGGCUCUUUUCUUUUUUAAAUUACUUCAGCAAUCUACUGGUUGUGCUUCUUUUUCACCAGUGUUAGAAACUUCUGUCCAGAUUCACUUUAUGCUGUGUCAUGAGGCGUUGCUAAUACAAACAGAGGCCAGAAGAAAGCAGCUGGGAGCCCGAGAAUAUUCAGAUAAAUUAUUGGAAAGUAUCAUAAAGUCACUUCCUUUUGCUUUCUUGUAAAUGUGAAAUUUUAGGAACAUUCAGAAAAACAGAAGAGAAUAUUUACAAGAGUUACCAGCAAAUCCUCUACUUAAGGCUACGUCCAAAGACUCUACGAUAUUAUUUCCGGAGCUUAGCCAGGCCCCUCAGAUAACCACGUUGCUAUUUUCAGAAUGAAGUGAGAAGCGUUCAUAAAUGAAUUGUCUAAACCCUUUAUUGAUCUCUUGACGAGCUUAUAAAGAAGUCUAGCUGUAGCCAGAGGAGGGGACUGGCUCCUGUAGAGAACUUCCUUCCUCCCUCCCUCCUUGCCUCCCACCUGCUUACCUACCUCCCACCUCCCUACCUAGCUCUCUACCAAACUAGCUAUUUGCUUCCCUCUCUUCCUUCCUGCCUACCUACCUACAGCAAACUGCUCGUGCUCGAAAGCUGGGUCUAGGUUUUCUUACUUGCAAAAUCAGAAGACUGAAUUCGAUGAGAUGUAAGCAGCUCUUCCAGUUAUAACUGGAAUGAAAAAACAGCACUGGGCCUCCUCUUAGAGAGGAAUCUACGAGAAGGUUCCUUCUCUCUGUCCACUAUCAUCAUGGUUUGCUCAUGAUCUAAGGUGAGUUCCAACAGCAAUGCAGGAACUAUUUCCUUUUUCUAAUUCUUCGCUCAAGUUCCCCUGGAUAGUCCAUCGCUUUUACAACCAGGGCAUCUGAGCAACUCAGCCAGUGCUUGCUGACCAACAGGCAGCCUUCUAGGACUCAGUGCAUCGUCACAGUGGCUGGAGAAAAAUGUCCCCUAUUUUAUGGGAAUCUUAAGACCAAGUCUGCUAUACUCAAAUUCUUUGCCUUUUAUUUAAAGUGAGAUCAGAGUGAACACUAUAGCUCUGACCUGUGCAAAUACAAUAAGCACUUCAGUCCA